rnacentral:misc_RNA from 1 species
GAUGAAGAACGUAGCAAAAUGCGAUAAGUAAUGUGAAUUGCAGAAUUCAGUGAAUCAUCGAAUCUUUGAACGCACAUUGCGCCCGCCAGUAUUCUGGCGGGCAUGCCUGUUCGAGCGUCAUUUCAACCCUCAAGCACAGCUUGGUGUUGGGACUCGCGUUAAUUCGCGUUCCCCAAAUUGAUUGGCGGUCACGUCGAGCUUCCAUAGCGUAGUAGUAAAACCCUCGUUACUGGUAAUCGUCGCGGCCACGCCGUUAAACCCCAACUUCUGAAUUUUGACCUCGGAUCAGGUAGGAAUACCCGCUGAACUUAAGCAUAUCAAUAAGCGGAGGA